rnacentral:rRNA from 1 species
UACGGAGGAUCCAAGCGUUAUCCGGAAUCAUUGGGUUUAAAGGGUCCGUAGGCGGUUUGGUAAGUCAGUGGUGAAAGCCCAUCGCUCAACGGUGGAACGGCCAUUGAUACUGCCAGACUUGAAUUAUUAGGAAGUAACUAGAAUAUGUAGUGUAGCGGUGAAAUGCUUAGAGAUCACAUGGAAUACCAAUUGCGAAGGCAGGUUACUACUAAUGGAUUGACGCUGAUGGACGAAAGCGUGGGUAGCGAACAGG